GGUUUCCUUUAUAACAUACAGUCUUAUUUUCAUUUUCUUGUAAUUAUUCUAUUUUCUUUUUUUCUUUUUCAUUUUCUUGUAAUUAUACUUUUUUCUUUUUUUCUUUUUCAUUUUCUCUACUUAUAAUUAGUAUUUUAGCAUAUUUUUUAAUCUAUAUAACUUAUGUUAAUUGUUUAAUUAUCAGAAUAUAGAAGAUGACAUUUUAU
rnacentral:lncRNA from 1 species